rnacentral:rRNA from 1 species
GACGUAGGGCGCGAGCGUUGUCCGGAUUUAUUGGGCGUAAAGAGCUCGUAGGCGGCUUGUUGCGUCAGCUGUGAAAACCCGCAGCUCAACUGUGGGCUUGCAGCUGAUACGGGCAGGCUUGAGUUCGGUAGGGGAGACUGGAAUUCCUGGUGUAGCGGUGAAAUGCGCAGAUAUCAGGAGGAACACCGGUGGCGAAGGCGGGAUCUCUGGGCCGUA